GACGAACGCUGGCGGCGUGCUUAACACAUGCCAGUCGAACGGUAAGGCUCCAGCUUGCUGGGGUACACGAGUGGCGAACGGGUGAGUAACACGUGGGUGACCUGCCCUGCACUUCGGGAUAAGCCUGGGAAACUGGGUCUAAUACCGGAUAGGACCAUGGUGUGGAUACUGUGGUGGAAAGUUUUUUCGGUGUGGGAUGGGCCCGCGGCCUAUCAGCUUGUUGGUGGGGUAAUGGCCUACCAAGGCGGCGACGGGUAGCCGGCCUGAGAGGGUGGACGGCCACAUUGGGACUGAGACACGGCCCAGACUCCUACGGGAGGCAGCAGUGGGGAAUAUUGCACAAUGGGCGGAAGCCUGAUGCAGCGACGCCGCGUGGGGGAUGACGGACUUCGGGUUGUAAACUCAUUUCACCAUCGACGAAGGGUUUCUGACGGUAGAUGGAGAAGAAGCACCGGCUAACUACGUG
rnacentral:rRNA from 1 species